CUUAUCUUCCCUUCAAUCAGCCUCUUAUUUCUCUCAUCUUCUUCCUCUUUUUUUUUCCUUUGGUUUUUGUCUUUUAUUUUGACCGAGAGCAACAAGAAGAACAACAAUGGUCUGGAUUUUUUUACUUAAGAAAUUACAGUAUUACGGGUCUCCUCCGGCCUCAAGAGGGUUAAGAAAAUGGCAAACAAAAGCAGGAGAACGGAAAGCCAGUGGUCCAAGCAGAAAAGAUGUUUUUUUUUUUAAAAGAGAGAGGGUGCGACGCUAUGAUUUCACUUUGAAAGUGUGAGACCAUUAUAAUUCAUAGCAUCAGUGGUGCAGAAGAAAUCAGAGUAUCAAGAGUCUCCUCCGGACUCAAGAUCCUUAAGGUUUCAUCUGGGCAUGACAAGUUUCAUGAGAUCUAUGUUCUCGACGGAGAGGUGAAUGGCAUAUGAUUCAAGUUCAACAUUCCAGUUCGUGGUCCAAAGAGCACGAUCAGUUGCCGUUGAAGCAGCUGUUGGAAGCUCUAUUGCCUUGCAGUAAUUUUUCGAAUCAUUUCCAGAUUUCGAUCUGGGAAGUGAUAGACCAUUGAUUUACUUGCAUAAGCCUCUUAAGUUUUUCUCAAUUGUUGGUUUUGGCUUUAAUUUCAAAAUUUUUUGUUUUGACAGACCAUCGAUUUCCUAUUCAGGAUUAUGGUAUAGUGGUGCUUUUUCUCUGUUUUCGUGUAUGUUGUCUUCUCUGCAGUUCUCUUCCACUUCAGCAUCAGUUUUACUGUAAUUGGUCUUGCUCCUGAUUUUUUUUUUUUUGGUUUCUAUGUUUUCAGGUCAUAGAUUCUAUAACAUAUUGUUCAUAUUUUAGGUUUAAAUAGUUUGGUGGAUGAUUUGCAUGUAUUUCAUUUACAUUGCCUUGCAUUAAAGCUCUUGCCUUUGUUGUCUUUUGGCAGAUAGCUUUCUAAUUUAGUGCCAGGUGGCCUAUGUUUGCUUAUUUGUUUUAAUCUUUCCCAUGUAUGGAAUGUUUUAGAAAAAAAUAUUAUGAAAUUAGGUUCUCUUGUACCACUAAGUUGCCUUUGCAUUAAACUUACUCUUUGAUUUUGCUUUUCAGGACCAACUGGUUAUUCAAUGUUGAAAGAUUGCAUAGGGUUCAUAUAGAGUGAUCAAUUUUUGAGGUAACCCUUUUUUGAUCCGUCUCCACUGUUUAAUUAUCUACUUUUUUGUGUUUUUCAUGUUUUGAUUUUCCCCAACUCUUCUAUUCCUGACAUACCUACUCUUAAUGAAUAAGUUACUUGUGAUGGCUUUUUUUUCGCAUGUUUUCCAAAAAUUGACUGUCUUAUGGGCCUAGGUGGUUAGAUGAAAAGUCUGAACUUUUGGAGGUUGAGCAAGGCAAAUGUUCCAUGACCUUAGAUACAGUGAACGUUAUAGGUUAUAAAGACAGCCGGAGCAUCUAGAUAUCUCAAGCCUUUUCAAUUUCAACAUUUUAUUAAGUAAGGUGGAAGAAGACGAUGCUUGGAAGCAAGUGAUAAGUGAUUAUGAUAUAGGCUUUGAGAUUCAAUUCUGAUAACGCUUCAGUAUUUUUGUUCACUUGAAGCUUUUCUAAUAUUGUUUGAUUUUUAAUUGUAGUAAUACUCUUUCAUAUUACAGCAAUUAUUUAAAAAUUAAGUUUAUGGCAUUUUGUAGCCUGAUUCAUGUCU